CAAUUUCAGAGACUGUAAACAGACCAUUUUAUGUCUUAUCUCCAAAUCAUUUCAAUUCCUACAACAUGAUUUCAUUGAAUAUGUUUAGGAAAGAGAAAUUGAGGAGCUACGUGUCACUUCCGACACUUCAUCCUGUAGAGUUUAGGACAGAGGAAUUGAGGAGAGUCUUUUCAUGUCCAGCUCUUCAAUAUGUAAAAG